rnacentral:rRNA from 1 species
GUGAACCUUUACUAUAGCUUGACACUGAACAUUGAGCCUUGAUGUGUAGGAUAGGUGGGAGGCUUUGAAGUGUGGACGCCAGUCUGCAUGGAGCCGACCUUGAAAUACCACCCUUUAAUGUUUGAUGUUCUAACGUGGGCCCCUUACCGGGGUUGCGGACAGUGUCUGGUGGGUAGUUUGACUGGGGCGGUCUCCUCCUAAAGAGUAACGGAGGAGCACGAAGGUUGGCUAAUCCUGGUCGGACAUCAGGAGGUUAGUGCAAUGGCAUAAGCCAGCUUGACUGCGAGCGUGACGGCGCGAGCAGGUGCGAAAGCAGGUCAUAGUGAUCCGGUGGUUCUGAAUGGAAGGGCCAUCGCUCAACGGAUAAAAGGUACUCCGGGGAUAACAGGCUGAUACCGCCCAAGAGUUCAUAUCGACGGCGGUGUUUGGCACCUCGAUGUCGGCUCAUCACAUCCUGGGGCUGAAGUAGGUCCCAAGGGUAUGGCUGUUCGCCAUUUAAAGUGGUACGCGAGCUGGGUUUAGAACGUCGUGAGACAGUUCGGUCCCUAUCUGCCGUGGGCGCUGGAGAACUGAGGGGGGCUGCUCCUAGUACGAGAGGACCGGAGUGGACGCAUCACUGGUGUUCGGGUUGUCAUGCCAAUGGCACUGCCCGGUAGCUAAAUGCGGAAGAGAUAAGUGCUGAAAGCAUCUAAGCACGAAACUUGCCCCGAGAUGAGUUCUCCCUGACUCCUUGAGAGUCCUGAAGGAACGUUGAAGACGACGACGUUGAUAGGCCGGGUGUGUAAGCGCAGCGAUGCGUUGAGCUAACCGGUACUAAUGAACCGUGAGGCUUAACCUUACAACGCCGAAG